GACGAACGCUGGCGGCGUGCUUAACACAUGCAAGUCGAGCGAUGAAGUUCCUUCGGGAAUGGAUUAGCGGCGGACGGGUGGGUAACACGUGGGUAACCUGCCUAAUAGAGGGGAAUCGCCUGUCGAAAGGAAGAUUAAUACCGCAUAAGAUUGUAGUCUCGCAUGAUACAGCAAUUAAAGGAGUAAUCCGCUAUGAGAUGGACCCGGGUCGCAUUAGCUAGUUGGUGAGGUAAGGGGUGACGAAGGCGACGAUGCGUAGCCGACCUGGGAGGGGGAUCGGCCACAAUGGGACUGAGACACGGCCCAGACUCGUACGGGAGGCAGCAGUGGGGAAUAUUGCACAACGGGGGAAACCCUGAUGCAGCAACGCCGCGUGAGUGAUGACGGUCUUCGGAUUGUAAAACUCUGUCUUCAGGGACGAUAAUGACUGUACCUGAGGAGGAAGCCACGGCUAACUACGUGCCAGCAGCCGCGGUAA
rnacentral:rRNA from 1 species